UACGAAGGGGGCUAGCGUUGCUCGGAAUGACUGGGCGUAAAGGGCGCGUAGGCGGUUUGUACAGUCAGGUGUGAAAUUCCCGGGCUCAACCUGGAGGCUGCACUUGAUACGUAUGGACUGGAGUGGGGAAGAGGGUCGUGGAAUUCCCAGUGUAGAGGUGAAAUUCGUAGAUAUUGGGAAGAACACCGGUGGCGAAGGCGGCGACCUGGUCCUUGACUGACGCUGAGGCGCGAAAGCUAGGGGAGCAAACAGG
rnacentral:rRNA from 1 species